UUACUUAAUUCUUUUUUCUUGUAGAAGCAAAGACAUGGUCUAACCGUUUUUUUUGCAGGCUGGAGUCCAAAUUGUAGAUCCUGUGGUCGAUGUGUUCAAUGGACAAGAGAUGCCUUUGAAAGCGACAGAGAGGGAUGUUUAUGAAUUCUUCUCGAAAGCAGGGAAGGUUUAGCUUCUUGUAUUGACAUUACACAUCCAUCUGAGAAGAGUGUUCUGAUAUUUACAUGUAUCAUGCAACCACAGUAAAUGCUUCUGUGCCUUCAAUGAGGCCUAUUAUAAUGACUUUUUUGUGGCUCAACAUUCUUUUAUUUGGUUAGAGACGUGCGGCUGAUCAUGGAUCGGAACUCGAGACGAUCGAUCAAAAGGAGUUGGGAUAUGAAAUAUGAGCAGAAGCAACAACAACAUCAACAACAAAUGGUGUCUGACUUAGAGUCACAAGUGAAAGCUAUGCAUGAACUUUUUUUAGGUAGCCAUCUUCAUUGACUCCUCAAACUCGAGAACAUGUGCAGGACCAGGCUAUCCAUGCAAGAUUAGGAGAGAGGGUAGCUCGAGUCUUCUUUUGACGAUGAUUAGAGAUGAAACGAUGUGUCUUUCCUAGACUUCUAUUUUAAUUUGUUUUAGAUAGUUUCACGUAUUUUCCUUUAGAACAAUUGGGAUAUUAACACUUGUUAUUAGUGUUGAAUAUUUGAGGAUGGUGGGAUUUUAUUUAUUGAUGUUAUUAAUGAAUGGAGUUUUUGAUUUC